rnacentral:lncRNA from 1 species
AUGCUAAUGACUGCUUCUUGCUGCGCCCGCGGAGGCGAAUCAGGGCUGCUACAAAGUCCUGUCAUCAUGGAGGCUGACUUCUUGAGCGGAGGAGCCGACGAGAAGGUUGGGCGUGGGGGCCCGUGUCGCGGCGGCUGGCAGUCCCACGGAGGGAGGUCCGUUCAGUGCCAGCUUUGCCCUCAUGGCCUGAGCGUGGACUCUUUGGUGGACCCUCGACAUCCGUCAGCAUCAGGAACCCACCCUGGCCAGGUUCUCGGACAAAGAAUAGGGAGGCCUGAGCCAGUCUGCAAACUUGAGCUCAUUUCAUCUCUAAGAAAGACACCUGCUGGCGAUUCCAGCUCAACACCUGUUUGCAUUCUGUACAGCGGGUGCAGGAAGUGCCCUUACCUGCUCCACGGGAUCAAAAGAGAAGGCCCAGCUUUCGGGGGUCACCUCUGCAGAGGGCGGGGUGAUGGCGCCGGGCAGUUCUGGGGCGCUAAACUCCUGACCUUAGGCUGUCUUCCUGGGUUCCUUAUCUGGUUCCUUUUCUUCUAGUCAGAAAUGUAUCUAGUGGAGAAAACUAUAAUUUGCUACAGCUUUUACAGUUCUGGAAUUCUAGACUAUUGACCCAAAAUAAAACUUGCAGCCUAAAACCCCAA